GAUGAACGCUGACAGAAUGCUUAACACAUGCAAGUCUACUUGAACUUCGGUUUGGGUGGCGGACGGGUGAGUAACGCGUAAAGAACUUACCUCACAGUUAGGGACAACAUUUGGAAACGAAUGCUAAUACCUGAUAUUAUGAUUUUAGGGCAUCCUACGAUUAUGAAAGCUAUAUGCGCUGUGAGAGAGCUUUGCGUCCCAUUAGCUAGUUGGAGAGGUAACGGCUCACCAAGGCGAGGAUGGGUAGCCGGCCUGGGAGGGUGAACGGCCACAAGGGAACUGAGACACGGCCCUUACUCCUACGGGAGGAAGCGGUGGGAAAUAUUGGACAAUGGACCAAGAGUCUGAUCCAGAAAUUCUGUGUGCAAGAUGACGUUUUUCGGAAUGUAAAGUGCUUUCAGUUGGGAAGAAAAAAAUGACGGUACCAACAGAAGAAGAGACGGCUAAAUACGUG
rnacentral:rRNA from 1 species